rnacentral:rRNA from 1 species
UACGUAGGGUGCGAGCGUUGUCCGGAAUCACUGGGCGUAAAGGGCGCGUAGGCGGGGAGGUAAGUCGGGUGUGAAAUCCCUCGGCCCAACUGAGGAACUGCGCCCGAGACUGCUUCUCUUGAGUCCCGGAGAGGAAGAUGGAAUUCCCGGUGUAGCGGUGAAAUGUGUAGAGAUCGGGAGGAACACCGGUGGCGAAGGCGGUCUUCUGGACGGUGACUGACGCUGAGGCGCGAAAGCGUGGGGAGCAAACGGG